UACGAAGGGGGCAAGCGUUGUUCGGAAUUACUGGGCGUAAAGAGUACGUAGGCGGCUUAAUAAGUCAGAUGUGAAAGCCCAAGGCUCAACCUUGGAACUGCAUUUGAUACUAUUUCGCUUGAGUGUUAGAGAGGUAAGCAGAAUUUCCAGUGUAGAGGUGAAAUUCGUAGAUAUUGGAAGGAAUACCGGUUGCGAAGGCGGCUUACUGGCUAACAACUGACGCUGAGGUACGAAAGCGUGGGGAGCAAAC
rnacentral:rRNA from 1 species